ensembl:lincRNA
CAGGGGCCGUGCCAUGAAGCCCACCAUCCUGGGCACAAUGUCACCCGAGUCUGUAAGUGGGGUGUCCAGAGCUUGGCCGCAAGACAAUUUGGUGUAUAGCUAAUGGGAUGGUCACCACCGGCCUGGGGAUGAAACACGGGAAAUUCUUCCCCAAUCAGCCCAGCAGAGCUGAGCAUCAGACCUGGGAGAUAGGCUGGGGGGUCAUCAGUCAUGAACCCUUGGCAGUUCUGAGAGCAGCGUCCCCCCAAGCAAUGCCUCCUCUUGGGGUCAACCUUCCCUCCCUCUGAGGCUCUGCUACAGACUGUGCCAUGUCCCCCCAAAUUCAUAUGUUAAGUCAUGACCCCCAAUAUCUCAGAAAGUGACUGUUUGGAGGUGAGGUCUCUACAGAAGUAAUUAAGGUAAAUGACUCAUAGAUGUGGGAUCUUAAUUCUCUAUGACUGGUGUGGUAUAAGAGAAGAGAUCAGGACACAGACACACACAGGGGGAUGACCAUGUAGAAACACAGGAAGAAGCUGGUCAUCUACAAGCUGAGGAGAGAGGCCCCACCCGCACCUUGAUCUUAGACUCUGGCCUCCAGGACCAGGAGAGGACAAAGGCCUGCGGUGGCUGUUACGGCGCCUGAGCUGACCAGGACAGGGUGCUCUCUCUUGCUGCUCCCACCACAGGGGCUCAGGGCUCAGUGACUGCUGUGGGUCCCUGUCAUCACUCUCUCCUGGGACCCGGCACUGCAGCUCCAGAUACUGUCCCCGCAGGGGUCACUCACAAGCACGACCCCACCUUACCGGUCCAGACUCGGCUCUCCAGUCCUGGGCCUGACCAUCCUCACAGCCAGCUCACAGCAGAACUCAACCUGAGCCCUGUAAAACCCCUGCCAUCAGCAUAGCCAUGGGGCACCACCACUUACCAGGUCUCCUUUGAAGCUCAGAGUCCAUCUCUCCCAGCGCCUACCCAUGACAUUGGUGGCCACUGCCUCUCCUCCCACCCCCAUCCCGUUACAUGCAUCUCCACAUCCUGAUAGCAUCACAGAGGCUUCUUGGGUUUGCUCAGAUGCUUUCUUCUGGGAACUGGAAGAGGAAUCCAGCCCCACCAAACUCCCAGAACUGGGAUAAGGGAGGAAAUCUGCAGCCUAAGGAGGCAGGAAAUAUUAUAUACAUCCAUCAAGUCCACAUGGAUGCACUGGAGCUGAGCAGGUCCCGUGUUAUAACCUGGGGAUGCUGCCCUGGGCCAGGCAGCCCACCUGAGGCAAGUACCCUCUUUCCCUUUGAAGGGGAGAAAGAAGAAAGCUCUUCUCUGACCUGUCUCUCCCGGGGGCUCCCAUCCCCUCCAGCGAUGCUGCCCGCCAGCCUGCUUCUCCAUCCCUCCCCCAUCUUUCACAGAUACCCUUCACGGGAGCCCAGCUCUCCAUGGAGUGCAAAGCACAUGGUCCUUCAAGCUCACUCCAGGUGCUCAUAGCCCUAUCACAUCUCAAGGCUGAAAUCCAGACUCUUCUAGGCAUAUGCAUGUGUCUAAGUCAUUUCAGUUGUGUCUGACUCUUUGUGACCCUAUGGACUAUUAGCCCACCAGGCUCCUCUGUCCAUGGGAUUCUCCAGGCAAGAAUACGGGAGUGGGGAGCCAUUCCCUCCUCCAAAGGAUUUCCCUACCCAGGGAUAGAACCUGGGUCUCCUGCAUUGCAGCCUGAUUCUUUACGGCUAAGCCACCAGGGAAGCCCCUUCCAGGCACAGCCCUCCGUAAAGGAGCAAAUCCAAGGCCCAGGCCUCAGGACCCCAUCUUCAACUUGCAUCUAGUCCUGGCUUCCCGUGUUCACCCCUUUCAGCAGAAAUCUGCUGGAGGGUCUCGGGCAAUGGAGAGUCUGGUCCUCACCCUGCUAUGUGUAUAAAAUCCUCCAGGAAUUCCCUUCACCUUUCACAGGGAGGGUGGGCCGGGCCUCUGGUCCAGGCUCUGCCUUCCUGGAGGGCUCCACCAGGCUCCCCUCAAUCUGCUAUCCGCUCAGAAAGUAGGAAAGUGGGCAUUUCAGGUGUAUCAAAUUGCUUGUGUGGCUGUUAAUCGGGCCACCCUUUGACAAGGGCAAACGAUUUAACCACCUCAAUCAGUUGAAUUCAUACUGGGAGCGCUGUUCUGAUUUAUCGGUAAUUGUGUCUGAACCUUCCCUGGGAUAGAAGGAUGUAGGCAUAUCUCUCUCUGAGCUCUGCCAGGAGCUGCUCUGGAUGCCCUGUUCCCUCUUGCGGCCUCAGGACACUCCAUAGGGAACAGAGAGUAUUCUGGAUGAGGGCCAGCAUGCCAAGUCAGCCAGGAGCCCGAGUCCCCCCACCCCACAGACAUGGUCACAGAGAAUGGGACCUCAUCUCCCCACCACUCAC